CAACAUUUUUACUUUUACAGAAUUUUUCUAAAACACAUUAAUUAUAAAAGUGUAUCAUAUUCUAUAAACUGAUCUUUGGAGUUUUUAAAACCAUCUAUUCUAUAAAUAUUUCCUACUCAAGAUUACUGUGGAAUUACAAAAUUAUUCUAAUGAAAAAUGGGAAGAGGACAGUCCAGGAAGAGAUAUAAUCUUACAUUUUUAUAGAUUGCAAAUUUUACUAUAUUUCUACCUAAAAAAGGUACCAAUACCAAAUGGCAAUAACUCGUGGGACCACCAAAUGUUCUGAGCUAACUCAUUGGCCUUAUUGACAUAUCAAAUUUAUAAUUAGGGAAAUAAUACAUUAUUGUAAUUUUUCCCUUCUGAAUUUCCUUUUACAAUGGCUGAUUAUUAAAGAAUUAGGAUAGAAAAGUAUUACUUUUUCUCUUCCAAAUAAUGACCAAAAAAGCUCAUAGGCUAAUGUAUCACAACAAGAUAUUAGAAAGAGAAAAAUCGAUUGUCAGUAAGAUACUUUGUAAUAAAUCUUACAAUAGUGACCUUGUUUGCCUGCUACAUACUGUAUAAAGAAAAGAAGCCAAUCAAAACUGCAUGAAUGAUUAAUGCAUUUCAUACAAAGUUCAGUGGUAUUCUUAGAAUAUAUUCGCUAAUGUGCUGCAGUCAUAAGAAGGCAAACAAAUGUUAAAGCUCAAGUAAGGAGUUUCAGAAGGAGUUCUUAAGAGAGACACAUGCAGUUAAUUUCUUCGUUUCUGUUGACUGUACAAAUUGAAGUACUGAUAUUAGAAUACAUUUUGUAAGGAAAAGAAAUGACAUUCAGAUUGCAGUUUGAAGUUGUGAAAACUAGGGAACUAUGCAGUAGAUUUGAUUAUUGAAAAAUCUUAUAAUAGGAUUAUGCAUUUUGCUCUGUUGACAUUAGGUUUAAUAACAGGAUUUUCCUUGGCCAAAGAAAGUGUGCCAUUUUGUAACGCAAAUUUUAAGAGUGAAUGUGUGGUUUACCAUAUCUUUUUUUUUCUUCCUGCCUCAAUGUAUAACAGAGGACAAACGGCUGGGUAUGUGGAAUGACUGAGCCCCUGAGAUAUUUAGAAUGUUUGUCAGUGCAGCAUUGCCUAACCCAUCCUGACUGAUGCAAGUUAUUGAGCAUUAAUAUUAGUAUAAACUGAAUUUGGGGAAAUUGAGGAAGAAGGAAAAGAAGCAACUGUUUUCUAAAUAGGCAUAUCAAGGUAUUUUUGGGCAGGUGAAAGAGUCAGGCUGUAGAAAAUGGAGAAAGAAGAAAAUAAAACUUUGGCAAUAACUCCACUGUUGGAAUCCAUGUCUUGACACUAUGGUGAACGAUCACAGCUCUCAAGAUUAUACUGGAACAGUCACUGCUAUGCAUUUCCUCUGAGCUCAAAGAGUUUUAGCUACUUUCUUAGGGCUUCACAACUGGUAAGGGACAGACUCAAAACACAUUGCUUUCAAUUCUAUUACACUGUCAUCUAAACACAGAACGUGAGCACCUGACUAAAUGUGGCAGCUGCUCAGAGCUCUCUUGGAGAGAGAACCUACUCUGGGGAGUGCAGUUAACUAGCAGCCUCCAGCUGCAGUGCCAUUAGGAUUUGGGAUUCAGUAUAGGCAUUUGAGCCAAGGAUACACUCUACCCAGGAAGUCCCCAGCCAAUGACUGAACAUGGAAGGGGGAUUUGGGUCUGGCCAUUUCUGCCCAAUGCAGUGUCUCCUGUGGGCAAUCUGUAUGCUAUGCUCUCCAUUGCCAAGACUUUCUCAGAGCUGCACUGUUCUCUGAGGCUCUUCUUAUCCCCUCCUCCUAACUUUUCUCUUCUCCGUUCACAGGAGGUGUCAGAACAUCACUGUUGGAAGAUUUUCUUGGCCCACUCUUGCCCUCUUCCCUCUUAUCUUAUGUAGAUGUCACCUGUUAAAAAAAGAUAUUCUGACAUUUGUAAAAAGAGUCAAGGAAACGUAUUUUGAGCUAUUUACAGACUUUAAUAAUUGAGAAAGGUGUGUAAACAAUUUGGAAUAUGUUUGUUUCUCUCUGACUGGGGAGAGAUUGGGCAUACAUAGUAGGAUUGGAUAGGGGAGAUAGGGCGUACAUAGAUAAGAAUGGAUACUCCUACUCCCUAAGCCCCCCUGUUAACACGAGUGAAAGCCACUUUGACAUCAUGAGUAGCACCCUGUGGUGGUCACCAAUACUCAUGGAUACAAGAACAGAGGAAAUAAAGAAGAAUUCCUCACUUUCCCUCCCUCAUAUACCUCUAGAAUUUGGAAACUAUCUGAGUAUUCUUAACUUAUGGCAAUAUAGUUAUUUGCAUCAGAGCAAUAAGAAUCCUUUUGCAACAGGAUACAGUUGGAGAAACUGCUUGUUUUACCAGGGCUUGGACUGGAAGGGUAUGCUACUUUUAAGGAGUCAAGCUCAUCUUGCAGAGCUAAUAAAAGCCCUUUGGGAAAACUGGGCUCAUAUUCUGGGCUACACAGUCCCUGGACAGGGUUCCAAACCUUUCGAGAGUAAAGAAUGUAACUUUCCAACAGCAACCACAUAGUCUUGGGACCUCAAGAAGAGAGGAGUUUACCCAGCUAAUAGGUAUUUGAGGAUACAAACCCAUGGCUGGGCUCACCUUGAAAAGGUCUUAUCUGGGAUUCCUUGUGGAACAGAGCCCCAUCAAAGCCAAUCUAAAAGGUGUGUGUAAAGCCAGGUAUGGUGGCUCACACCUGUAACCCAAGCACUUUGGAAGACCGAGGCAGGUGGAUCACUUUAGGUCAGGAGUUUGAGACCAGCCUGGCCAACAUAGUGAAAACCCAUCUCUAUUAAAAAUAUAAACAAUAGCUGGGUAUGGUGGCACAUGCCUGUAAGCCCAGCUGCUUGGGAGACUGAGGCAGGAGAAUCACUUGAAUCCAGGACACAGAGGUUGCGAACAUGCCACCGCACUCCAGCCUAGGCAACAGAGUGAGACUCUGUCUCAAAAUAAGUUAAUAAAUAAAAAUAUAAAGGCAUAUGUAGAAAUAAGUAUUCUUGCCACACUUUAUGCAAAUAAGCAGAUCAAGUACAAGAUUAAGUCUAUUUUGCAAACAACAAAGUCUUAUGAUUUGUUUUAAACAGAAAUGAGGAUUAAAUUAUGUUUCAAAAUUGAUCAUACAUUUGCCAUUGAAUUCUUGACUCAUUAGUUGAUUUUUAGUUUUUGCCUACAUUUUAAACUAACCCUGCUUAUUCCUAUAAACCAACCAGUGAUCACCAGCUGCAGUUCAAAAGGAACAGGAGGGACGGGUAUUGUAAAAAUCUGGAUCAAUGUACUGGUUCUGAGCAAUUGUCUUGCAAAUCCUGCCACGUGAUGGAAGUGGGUGCCCAUCACCCGGAAGUCUCCUUUUUGGGAAAGUAAGACCAAUGGAUUUAACCAAAGCCAAACCCCAUGCACUCAAAUCUUAGCAAGCAUAUCUGGGAGUUAUCUGGGCGUAAUCUUAGACAGUUAUCUGGGAGUGUCACAAGACACCCUUUCUCUCCCUUGCUGGAGAAGGACUCAAUUUCACAGCUUCACCUUAGCAUUUGGCUUAUGAUAAGUAGUUCAUAUAACACCCCUCCCCACUGAGACACAUUUUUGGUCUCAAGCUCAAUUCUAAGUUUUGGGUGAAAGCCCCAAGAAGAAAACAAAUCUGGGCCGGACGUGGUGGCUUACACCUGGAAUUCCAGCACUUUGGGAGGCUGAGGCGGGUGGAUCACAAAGUCAGGAGUUAGCGGCCAGCCUGGCCAAUAUGCUGAAACUCCAUCAUACUAAAAAUACAAAAAUUAGCUGGGCAUGGUGGCACAUGCCUGUAGUCCCACUUCCUGGAAAGGAUGAGGCAGAAGAAUCACUAGAACCUGGGAGGUGGAGGUUGCAGUGAGCCCAAGAUUGUAUCACUGCACUCCAGGCUGGGCAAGAGAGUGAGACUCCAUCAAAGAAAGAAAGAGAGAAAGAGAAAGAGAGGGAGAAAGAGAGAGAAAGAAAAACAAAGAAAGAAACAAACAAACUGGAUCUGAGGGACCUAGAGGAAGAUGACAACAAAAGUUAAAAGGCACAGCACAGGUGGGCAUUACUAAUUCCUGCCAGUUGAGCCAAGCUUCCCGUUUCAUGGAUAAAGGUCAUGCUAGUAUUCAUGGCAUAAUUGAGUUCUAAGGAAUUCAAAGGCUACUGACAGCAGGGGAGAUAGGGCAUAUGCAGUUAAGAGCAGAUACUCCCACCCCCUAGGCAUCCCCUGUUAACAUGGUUGAAAGCUGCUUUGACAGCCAUGGGUGGCACCCUAUCAUAGUCACCGGAACUCAGGGAUAUAAGGACAGAGGAAAGACGAAUACCUCACUUUUCCUCCCUCAUGUAUCCUGGGCAUUUGCUAAGAAGAGAAAGAAAUUAGGGAUGCCUGCUCCCCUUUCUAGAUGAGUAGCCAUUCAUCUUCAGUCUGUACCCCUUUCAAAUGCAAACGUAACCUCUGGGACUCCUCUGAAAAAGAAGCUUGCUGUUUUCCUUUUUCCUCCUCUGUCUUUUCUUCACAGCUAGGUAAUUUUGUUUUUAUACAUUCCCCUCAGGUGCAUCCUCCAAACUGGGAAGAGUUAAUUCCCAAACCGUAGACUGGUUGGGCUCAGGGGAAGGGAACCCAGAAGUCUGACAUGCUGGCAAAAGGGUAAAAGGUUUUUUGUUUUUUUUUUUUUCCUUUUUAUACCAGUCAGGCUUUUGACCUCCCCCUCCCUGUGCAAACCAGUAAAAGACCUUGGGAUUUUUUGAACUGUCCUUAACCCCCACUUGUGUGUUUUAAUAGAUGUUUUCUAAUAACUCUUUUUGUCUCUUCUCACCUUCAGGCCAUCAAACUCCAAAUGGUCAUGCAACCGGAGCCUCGGAUGAUAGCCCCUUUUGCUGGAGACCCUUAGAUAGGCCUCUGAAUAAGAUCUGACCGCCGUUUUCCCAAAAUAGAAUUGGCCUUAUGGUUCAAACACCUCCUACCCCCUGUCAUUAGAGAGCAGUUAAGAUUGGUUUUUGUCUUUAUCUUUAUCUUUAUUCUAACAGAAGAUAGAUGUACAUCUUUAGAGUGGGGAAUGAGACAGUCAAAUGCCGAGCCAGAUAAUAAGGGGUCCCUGAAGAAUAUCUGACCUGUGCCACAAGUAUUUACAUUAGAUGUUUUCGUGCAAAUGAGGGAAGCUUCCCAGGGCUUAUCUGGGCAUGCCCACAGUGGACUGGAGCCCAACAAGCACAUUAGCGGAAGUGGGUGGAGCCACGGCGAAUCCAAACCUUAUGCAGGGGAGAAACCUGCUUUCUUCAGUUUAUAUGGUGACCUGGGAAUCAAUCUGUGAGGUAGAGGACCUAUUAGCAGGUCUCCAUCUCACUUUGCUGCGUUUCUUUCUUUCUUUUUUUCCUUUUCCAAUAAAGUCCUGCUAUAUUCACCCUUCAA